rnacentral:rRNA from 1 species
CCUACGGGCGGCAGCAGUGAGGAAUAUUGGUCAAUGGCCGGGAGGCUGAACCAGCCAAGUCGCGUGAGGGAAGACGGCCCUACGGGUUGUAAACCUCUUUUGUCAGGGAGCAAGCUGCUGGUCGGGACCUGCUGUGAGAGUACCUGAAGAUAAAGCAUCGGCUAACUCCGUGCCAGCAGCCGCGUUAAUACGGAGGAUGCGAGCUUUUUCCGGAUUUAUUGGGUUUAAAGGUUGCGCAGUCGGAGGCACAAUUCAGCGGUAAAAUCGCGGGGCUAAACCCCGCAGCGCCGUUGAAACUGUGUGCCUUGAGUGCGCGAAGGGUGGGCGGAAUGCGUGGUGUAGCGGUGAAAUGCAUAGAUAUCACGCAGAACUCCGAUCGCGAAGGCAGCCUACGGGCGCGCAACUGACGCUCAUGCACGAAAGCGUGGGUAUCGAACAGGAUUAGAUACCCCAGUAGUC